rnacentral:rRNA from 1 species
AUGUUAUUUGGGGAAAUGGAUGAAGGUUUUGCCAAGAUACAUGGUGAUUUUUUUGGGGAAGCAAAUGCUCUUCGUGUUCUUUAUUUUCCCCACCUGAUGUGCCCCAUGGAGUCUGUGUUACAUACCUUUUCAAGACUUGUCCACCUACGAUGCCUAUGUCUAGGAACACGGAUGAGACAGAUGCAGUUACCACCUAACAUCUCUAAAUUUUAUCAUUUAAGGGUUCUAGAUCUUGAGAGGUGGGGUGGCAGUGGUGAUUUCCCCGAAGACAUGUGCAACCUUGCAAAAUUGUGCCACUAUUAUCCCCCAAGGGAUGAUGGGCUUCAGUUUGAUAUUUAUAAUGUGGGAAAACUUAAACUCUUAGAAAAGUUAAUGGUAUUUCGUGUCAAUAAAAAGAAUGAAGGAUUUGAACCAAAGCAGCUUGAGCAUUUGACCAAGCUAUGGGAGCUUGGCAUCUACAACCUUGAGAAAAUACAUACAAAAGAGGAGGCAGCUCAAGCAAAGCUGGUUGAGAAAAAGUGCUUGAGGAGGUUAAAAUUGGACUGGGAUAGUGAGCAAUCUAGCAUUGAGCCUGGUGUGGAAGCAGUGGUUCUUGAGAGCCUUAAACCACAUGGAAAUCUUCAAGUACUGUGCAUUAGAGGGCAUGGAGGCCCUUCUUGUCCAACAUGGCUGGGUGAUGUGUGGGAUCUUCGUGAACUAAGGUUGAAGGAUAUGGCAAGACUGAAGGAGCUUAUUAUAGGGAAAAGCUUUUUCAUGCUAAUAAAGCUUGAACUCAUUGGCCUAGCAAGUUUUGAAAAAUGGCUUUACACAAGUAAACCAGAGUCUUCCCUAGGUGGAGACGUGUUGCCAAGGGAUGCUCAUAUCUUUCCUGCUUUGCAAGUGCUGAUUAUCAAAAACUGCCCGAAAAUCGAGUUUCCGGUUUCAAACAACAUUCUUUACCUAGAUUGGUUUCCCAAACUACAAGAGCUUGAGAUACGGUACUGUCCAGAAUUCUCAUUCGUGAUUCCAAUAUCCCGGAUUGAAAGUCUGCGUCGUGUCACGAUCAAAGGUGUCAAGCUACUAGAAAAAUUUGAGUACACAAAAUCAUCUGAUGGAGCAGAAUUGGAAAUUAUUGGAAAGGGUGAUCUGCAUAGCUUAGACCAAGUGUUAGUUUUCGAUGAAAAAACAAGUCUUGAGAAACUGACACUCCAGGGGUGCCCACCUCUAGAGUUAAAGCACCUUAUGAUGUUAAGCUCGUUGAAGAAAUUGAUUGUAAAAUGUUCAGUUAGUCUGGUUGGACCACUAAGAGGUCAGAGUAAUGGGAAAUGCCAUCUCCCUGUUGAGUAUAUGAGGAUCGAGUGGUUAAAAGGUAUUAGUGGAAAGGAAUUGACGGAGCUCCUCCCCCACCUCCCAAUGCUCUCCAAACUGGAAAUAAUUCGUUAUCGAAGAAGGGAAAUGAUGUUUUCGCGGCGGUAUCAGCAACCAAUGGAGAUGGAGGAAGAUGAAGUAACAGCAGCAGAAGGGGAAGAUGAUGAUGGGACACUGCUCUUUCCAGCUUAUCUCUCCGACUCACUACAGGAUGCUCAUAUGUUCCCUCUUUUGCAAGUGCUAAUUAUUAGAGAUUGGCCGAAGCUCUUGAGGUUCCCUUUCUCAAACCACAUUGUUUCCCCAGAUUGGUUCCCCAAACUACAAGAGCUUGAGAUACAAGGCUGUCCAGAAUUCUCAUGGGUGAUUCCCAUCUCCUGGAUUAACAGUCUGCGUCGUGCCACGAUAAAAAAUGUAAAGUUACUACAGGAGUUUGUGUACUCAAAAUCAUCUGGUAGAGCAGAAUUGGAAAUCGUUGGACGGGGUGAUCUGCAUAGCUUAGACCAAUUGUUAGUUUUCGAUAAAGAAACAUGUCUUGAGAAGCUGACACUGCUGAGGUGCCCACCGCUGGAGUUGAAGCACCUUCUGAAGCUAAAAUCGCUGAAGACAUUGAUUGUACACCUUUCAGAUGGUCUGGUUGGACCACUAGUAGGUCAGGGUGAUGUGGAAUGGCAGCUUCCUAUUGAGCAUAUCGAGAUCUACAACAUAAAUGGUAUUAUUGGCAAGGAUUUGACCGAGCUACUCCCCCACCUCCCGGGGCUCUCCAAAUUGAAAAUAAGUGAUUGUGAAAACAUAAAAAAGCUGGUAGUGGGGGUGGGUGUGCAACAAACAGCAUCAGAAGCAUCAGAGAUGGGCGCGAGGUGA